AAAGGAUGCUGUGCCUGCCAACUUUGUUCGCCUGGACUUCAGAGAAGCCAAAGAGGAGAAUCAUCAUUCGCAUACCGUGUAUGGAUUCCAUGGAGUAUUCCAUCGAGUAUUUCUUCUGUUUCAAUCGUCUUGGUGAAGUUUUUGAGCUGGAUCUGGAUUCUGCUGAGGAUUCGUCGACUACUAGAUGGCGAGCCACCCACUCAUUCGAAUGUGAUCCUGUUCUACAUUGCGCAUGGCAUAUUUGGUAGGAUUGU